rnacentral:rRNA from 1 species
AGAGGUUGAUUUUGGCUCAGGAUGAACGCUAGCUACAGGCUUAACACAUGCAAGUCGAGGGGCAUCAGUUUGGUUUGCUUGCAAACCAAAGCUGGCGACCGGCGCACGGGUGAGUAACACGUAUCCAACCUGCCUCAUACUCGGGGAUAGCCUUUCGAAAGAAAGAUUAAUAUCCGAUAGCAUAUAUUUCCCGCAUGGGUUUUAUAUUAAAGAAAUUCGGUAUGAGAUGGGGAUGCGUUCCAUUAGUUUGUUGGGGGGGUAACGGCCCACCAAGACUACGAUGGAUAGGGGUUCUGAGAGGAAGGUCCCCCACAUUGGAACUGAGACACGGUCCAAACUCCUACGGGAGGCAGCAGUGAGGAAUAUUGGUCAAUGGACGCGAGUCUGAACCAGCCAAGUAGCGUGAAGGAUGACUGCCCUAUGGGUUGUAAACUUCUUUUAUAUGGGAAUAAAGUGGUCCACGUGUGGACUUUUGUAUGUACCAUAUGAAUAAGGAUCGGCUAACUCCGUGCCAGCAGCCGCGGUAAUACGGAGGAUCCGAGCGUUAUCCGGAUUUAUUGGGUUUAAAGGGAGCGUAGGCGGAUUGUUAAGUCAGUUGUGAAAGUUUGCGGCUCAACCGUAAAAUUGCAGUUGAUACUGGCAGUCUUGAGUGCAGUAGAGGUGGGCGGAAUUCGUGGUGUAGCGGUGAAAUGCUUAGAUAUCACGAAGAACUCCGAUUGCGAAGGCAGCUCACUGGAGUGUAACUGACGCUGAUGCUCGAAAGUGUGGGUAUCAAACAGGAUUAGAUACCCUGGUAGUCCACACAGUAAAC